AUGAGAGGCCUCCUCGCGUGCGCCACGCUGGCCCGCCGCGCCGCCGCCGCCUCCUCCACGGGCGGCGCCUCCACGGCCGCGCGCCGCCACCUCGCGGGCGCGGCGGAGGCGGCCGAGGCGGAGCUCAAGAAGACGGCGCUCUACGACUUCCACGUGGCGCACGGGGGCAAGAUGGUGCCCUUCGCCGGCUGGAGCAUGCCCAUCCAGUACAAGGACACCAUCAUGGACUCCACCCUCAACUGCCGCGCCAACGGCAGCCUCUUCGACGUCUCCCACAUGUGCGGCCUCAGCCUGCAGGGCAGCCAGGCCAUCCCCUUCCUCGAGUCGCUCGUCGUCGCCGACGUCGCCGCCCUCAAGGACGGCACCGGCUCCCUCACCGUCUUCACCAACGACAAGGGAGGCGCCAUCGACGACUCCGUCGUCACCAAGGUCAACGACCACCACGUCUACCUCGUCGUCAACGCCGGCUGCCGGGACAAGGACCUCGCCCACAUCGGCGCCCACAUGGAGGCCUUCCAGAAGAAGGGCGGCGACGUCAAGUGGCACGUCCACGACGAGCGCUCCCUCCUCGCCCUGCAGGGUCCUCUUGCUGCACCAACUCUCCAGUUGCUGACAAAGGAAGAUUUGAGCAAAAUGUACUUCAGUGAUUUCAAGAUGAUUGACAUCAACGGAUCUGCUUGCUUCCUCACCAGAACUGGUUACACCGGCGAAGAUGGAUUUGAAAUCUCCGUCCCAUCUGAGAACGCGGUUGAUCUCGCAAAGGCCCUCCUGGAGAAAUCCGAGGGCAAGGUGAGGCUGACCGGCCUGGGCGCCCGCGACAGUCUCCGGCUGGAAGCUGGCCUCUGCUUGUACGGCAACGACAUGGAGCAGCACAUCACGCCGGUCGAGGCCGGCCUCUCAUGGGCGAUCGGCAAGCGGAGGAAGGCUGAGGGCGGCUUCCUGGGCGCGGAGGUGAUCCUGAAGCAGCUCAAGGAAGGCCCCAAGAUCCGGCGCGUGGGCAUCUUCUCGCAGGGGCCACCCCCGCGGAGCCACAGCGAGAUCGUGAGCGGCACGGGGGAGAACAUCGGCGAGGUGACGAGCGGCGGGUUCAGCCCGUGCCUGAAGAAGAACAUCGCCAUGGGGUACGUGAAGAACGGCCUGCACAAGGCCGGGACCGAGUUCAAGGUGGUCGUCCGCGGCAAGCAGUACGACGCCGUGGUCACCAAGAUGCCCUUCGUGCCCACCAAGUACUACAAGGCCCCUUAG
rnacentral:rRNA from 1 species